rnacentral:lncRNA from 1 species
UUCCGGGAGAGAAGACCGUGCUGGCCUGUGUCACAUCAUCACAGAGGCUGAGGUCCCGGAGCGGCUACAGGAAGGGACCCAGCUUCGCUCUCUUCCCGGGUGUCGUCCUGGGUGUGGUGGGUGGGCUUGACCACACCUGAAGUCUCAUCGGCAGACCGCAGGAGGUCACACCGAGGACCACACGCUCCCUUCGCCACCGAGAGUCGGGGACAUCGGGAGUUUGAAGGACCCAGGAGGCCUUGGUAUGGAUUGGCAAGUGUUCUGAACCAGCCCAGUGCUCAGCUUAGGAAGACCCUUAUCCUUGCUUCCAGAAGCUCGCCGUGCACGGAUGGGGAAGAUCAAUGUGUCCCCAGGUAUUCAUGCUAUGUUAGAGCAAUGGCCGGGAGAGAGGCACGUACAGACACUCAGAGCACCGCGGGUGGGACCAAAUGUCCUGGGAGGACGAGGAAGGUAGACAGUGCUUCACAAGGACAGGGGACAGCAUCUGGACUGGGCCUUCAGUUGUCAAAGGGGGGAGCUGGUGCCAUAGGACUGGGCCCAGAGCGGGGAUAGAGGGAUGUCUGGAGACGGG